rfam:Trachymyrmex zeteki contig13492, whole genome shotgun sequence.
GUCAGGAUGGCCGAGCGGUCUAAGGCGCCAGACUCAAGGUUCACUCCUUCUCGGUUCAAAAACCGAGUUUUUCGGGCUUUCUGGUCCUCUUUGAGGGCGUGGGUUCGAAUCCCACUUCUGACA